rnacentral:rRNA from 1 species
GGGUUCAGAACGUCGUGAGACAGUUCGGUCCCUAUCCGCUGUGGGCGUUGGAGAUCUGAGUGGAGCUGUUCCUAGUACGAGAGGACCGGGAUGGACGUACCUCUGGUGCACCAGUUGUUCUGCCAAGGGCAUAGCUGGGUAGCCACGUAUGGACGGGAUAAGCGCUGAAAGCAUCUAAGUGCGAAGCCCCCCACAAGACAGGAUCUCCUCCAGUAAUGGUAAGACCCGUGGAAGACUACCACGUUGAUAGGUCGGAGGUGUAAGUGCAGUAAUGUAUUAAGCUGACCGAUACUAAUAGGUCGAAAGCUUGACCAG